AGCAGUCGCCACGGGAACACGUAGGUGGCAAGCGUUGUCCGGAAUUAUUGGGCGUAAAGCGCGCGCAGGUGGUUUAAUAAGUCUGAUGUGAAAGCCCACGGCUCAACCGUGGAGGGUCAUUGGAAACUGUUAAACUUGAGUGCAGGAGAGAAAGGUGGAAUUCCUAGUGUAGCGGUGAAAUGCGUAGAGAUUAGGAGGAACACCAGUGGCGAAGGCGGCUUUUUGGCCUGUAACUGACACUGAGGCGCGAAAGCGUGGGGAGCAAACAGGAUUAGAUACCCGCGUAGUCCCUGUCUCUUAUAC
rnacentral:rRNA from 1 species